UUAUCAAAAACAUCCAAGAAGUUUUGACAUAAUUUAAACUGGGAAAAGGCUCACAAAUGACUUCAACAUCGCAGAUAUCUCUCAAAAAUGAUAUCUGUUCGAGUGAUGUACUGGGCGACAAAUCUGCAAAUGAGUUAGAACUGUACAUAAUUUUUUGAAUGGAAUGAUACUGAAAAUCUUACCUACAAAUGACAAUUUCAAGAUACAAUCAAUAGUACUUAGAUUGAUUGGCCUUCGGUACCAUUGCGCUAUGAAAAUGUAAGCAAUACAAAUUGGUAUUAAUGGACGUUUCCAGUCCAAGUUCCAGUUUUAAUGGAUAAUCUUUAAUGGACAGAAAAAUGACAUUCACUGGAUUGACUUAACACCUGUUGCCUUUUAAUAAUGGUAUACAAUGGGAUAAUUGCUGUUUGAAGUCAACAAGUAGUACUAGUUGCAAAUAAUAUAUUAUGGCGGACAUCAAAAAGCUUUAAAUGGAAUUAAACUUGCAGAAAAAGACUCAAAAAGACCAUUUAGGACUGUACUUAAUAGCUGUUAGAGUGGAUGCAGCCCUUUAUCAAUGGUAUAAGAUGGGACAAUUGGCUGUUAAAAAUCCACAAGCCGUACUAUCUGCAAAUAUUAUGGUGGACAGUCGAAAGCUUUAAAUGGAAUGAAAUUUGCAGGAAAAGACUCAGAAAGUCCAUUUAGGACUGUACUUAAUAGCUGUUAAAAAGUGGUCGCAGUCCUUUAUCAAUGGUAUCUCGACAUUUUCUUAACAAUGGAUAUCAACAGUUUCUCCUACUCCUCACUUUCCUCUUUCGCUCAACAUAAAGCAGACUCAAUACUCCUCAAUGCCUCACCAAGGUUCGUUAGCUUCAUUAAUAGUGUUAUUGUUUCAAUAAA